rnacentral:rRNA from 1 species
GUGGGGAAUAUUGCGCAAUGGGCGAAAGCCUGACGCAGCGACGCCGCGUGAGGGAUGAAGGUUUUCGGAUCGUAAACCUCUGUCAGAAGGGAAGAAACUACAUUGUGCUAAUCAGCAGUGUACUGACGGUACCUUCAAAGGAAGCACCGGCUAACUCCGUGCCAGCAGCCGCGGUAAUACGGAGGGUGCAAGCGUUAAUCGGAAUUACUGGGCGUAAAGCGCACGUAGGCUGUAGUGUAAGUCAGGGGUGAAAUCCCACGGCUCAACCGUGGAACUGCCUUUGAUACUGCACAACUUGAAUCCGGGAGAGGGUGGCGGAAUUCCAGGUGUAGGAGUGAAAUCCGUAGAUAUCUGGAGGAACAUCAGUGGCGAAGGCGACACCCUGGACCGAUACUGACACUGAGGUGCGAAAGCGUGGGUAGCGAACAGGAUUAGAAACCCUUGUAGUCC